GACGAACGCUGGCGGCGUGCUUAACACAUGCCAGUCGAACGGAAAGGCCCUCCUUGCAGGGUACUCGAGUGGCGAACGGGUGAGUAACACGUGGGUGAUCUGCCCUGCACUUCGGGAUAAGCUUGGGAAACUGGGUCUAAUACCGGAUAGGAGCCAUCUUUAGUGUGGUGGUUGGAAAGUUUUUUCGGUGUAGGAUGAGCUCGCGGCCUAUCAGCUUGUUGGUGGGGUAAUGGCCUACCAAGGCGGCGACGGGUAGCCGGCCUGAGAGGGUGUACGGCCACAUUGGGACUGAGAUACGGCCCAGACUCCUACGGGAGGCAGCAGUGGGGAAUAUUGCACAAUGGGCGCAAGCCUGAUGCAGCGACGCCGCGUGGGGGAUGAAGGCCUUCGGGUUGUAAACUCCUUUCGCUAGGGACGAAGCUUUUUUGUGACGGUACCUAGAUAAGAAGCACCGGCUAACUACGUG
rnacentral:rRNA from 1 species